rnacentral:tRNA from 1 species
GAUGAUGAUCCCAAGCCUUCUGGCGAUCUAGACAAAACAAGUCCACCGUGGGCUUUGAAAAACGCUUUCCUUGAUAAAAUUUAAGCGUUUUAUAAGAGGAUGCCGGGGAAGGUUUUCCGGUUUAUCCCGGAGGGCUUGUAGCUCAGUUGGUUAGAGCGCGCGCUUGAUAAGCGUGAGGUCGGAGGUUCAAGUCCUCCCAGGCCCACCAGUUUAUCCAUUACUUUCAUAAGUGCUUUUAAAAAAUAAGUACUUCUAAAAAGAUUGCUUCUAAAAAGCUUAUCAAAAUUGGCAGGCUUAUUGCUUUUGUGUGAGUAAUCCAAAGUUAAAGCAAAUUAAUGGCAAAAAAACAGUUCAAAUGCUAAAUACUAAGGAGUCAAAAUUCCUUGCAAAGUGAUUUUUACAGCGUCCAUUUGGUUGAUAUAAAUUCCAAAUGCUCAUAGACGUCAAUGCCUAUAUGAAACUAUCGGUUCAAUCAUAUCGCUUUGAGUUAUAUAGAUUUUGUAAUCCCUCUUUUGAUCGUUUUAAACGCUUUAUUCUGAUUUAGGGGCCGUAGCUCAGCUGGGAGAGCACCUGCUUUGCAAGCAGGGGGUCGUCGGUUCGAUCCCGUCCGGCUCCACCAUAAGGUCAUCAUCAUUGUUGUAAGAACAGUUUUGUAAAAGGUUUGCGGACCUUUUGCUUGUUCU